AGUGAACGCUGGCGGUGCGCCUAACACAUGCAAGUCGAGCGGGGUGAUGGUGCUUGCACUAUCACUUAGCGGCGGACGGGUGAGUAAUGCUUAGGCAUCUGCCUAUUAGUGGGGGACAACAUCUCGAAAGGGAUGCUAAUACCGCAUACGUCCUACGGGAGAAAGCAGGGGAUCACUUGUGACCUUGCGCUAAUAGAUGAGCCUACGUCGGAUUAGCUAGUUGGUGGGGUAAAGGCCUACCAAGGCGACGAUCUGUAGCGGGUCUGAGAGGAUGAUCCGCCACACUGGGACUGAGACACGGCCCAGACUCCUACGGGAGGCAGCAGUGGGGAAUAUUGGACAAUGGGGGGAACCCUGAUCCAGCCAUGCCGCGUGUGUGAAGAAGGCCUUACGGUUGUAAAGCACUUUAAGCGAGGAGGAGGCUCUUUUGGUUAAUACCCAAGAUGAGUGGACGUUACUCGCAGAAUAAGCACCGGCUAACUCUGUGCCAGCAGCCGCCGUAA
rnacentral:rRNA from 1 species